UCAGAUGACAAAAUGUCGGCAAAGUCCCAGACACAUCGGGUGUGAUGUUUCCUUGUGAGUAGACCUCUAGUAACUAAAACAACAGGUUCUUAAAGAAAAAUGGCCUACCUGAUUCCUUCAAGAUCACAACAAUUCAUAAUCCUGCCUAUCCCUGCCUCUUUCACUAUAUAAAAACACACAAAGACUUAAUAUGCAUCUGUCCAAUUGGUGAAAUGAGAUGUUCUCUCUUGUUUACUCUUGAGAAUGCUCCAGACAAUAAAUGUUCCAACAAGUUUAAAGGUUAUGAAUAUACAGUCAACUCACCAGAAAAAUUCUUAAUAAGAUUAAAGUUAUCUCCUGUUAAUAAUGAAAUUACAACUAUGUCCAAUUUUGAAAAAUUAUUCCCAUCUUUGAAGCUUCCAUCAACCUGUCUAGCUCUAUAUAGAUUCCUCCUACA
rnacentral:lncRNA from 1 species